AACCAGCACCUCAAGUGGUCAGGAUGAUUAUUGGGCCUAAAGCAUCCGUAGCCUGUUCUGUAAGUUUUCGGUUAAAUCUAUGCGCUCAACGUAUAGGCUGCCGAAAAUACUGCAGAACUAGGGAGUGGGAGAGGUAGACGGUACUCGGUAGGAAGGGGUAAAAUCCUUUGAUCUAUUGAUGACCACCUGUGGCGAAGGCGGUCUACCAGAACACGUUCGACGGUGAGGGAUGAAAGCCAGGGGAGCGAAAGGG
rnacentral:rRNA from 1 species